rnacentral:misc_RNA from 1 species
GAAGGGUAAGCCUUAAAGGUUUUAUGGGGUGCUUUUCUGCGUUUCUACUUCAAUUGUGCUAUGGUUGCUCUGCCUCUGCAAAAGCUCAAAUCCUUCUUAUCCAGGAAAAAAAGCCAAAAACUUCUCUCUUCUGGUAUUCUUUCUUCCUCUUUCUCUCAGCUCAAGUUAUAAUUUUCGUGCUCUUUCUUUUUCAAAAUGGAUUCUCAUCACAAUAACCAUCCACAGCCCAAUCAAACACAUUCUUUCACCAAGAAAUCAAGACCCUUUUCAUUUUACUUAUCUUCAAUAUUAAUUCUCUGUUUAGCCAUCUCAUAUAGUCUUACCAAAACCAACUACAUCAAAAUUCAAUACCUCAAGUCAAUCCUUUCAUCACACCCUUCCUCUUUUCAGAAAUUUUUAGGGUUUCUUAAUGGAUUGCAAAAACCGACCAAAGCCCUAAUAACAAAUCCCAUUGCUUUUCCCUCCCACUGUAUUCUAUGGAUGGCCCCGUUCCUUUCAGGUGGUGGGUAUAGCUCAGAAGCUUGGUCAUAUAUUUUAGCUCUUAAUGAACAUGCGAAAGAAUCAAUAUUUAGGUUAAAAAUUGAGCAACAUGGUGAUCUAGAAUCUUUAGAAUUCUGGGAGGGUUUGUCUGAUGAUGUUAAGAACUUGGCUUUUAAGCUUCACCAAACAGAUUGCAGAAUGAAUGAAACCAUUGUCUUGUGUCAUAGUGAGCCUGGUGCUUGGUACCCACCGUUGUUUGAAACCCUUCCUUGUCCACCAAUUGAUUAUCAAAAUUUUAUGUUUGUAAUUGGUAGAACCAUGUUUGAAACUGAUAGAGUGAAUAUUGAACAUGUUAGGCGGUGUAAUCGCAUGGACAGUGUUUGGGUUCCUACUGAAUUUCAUGUUUCCACAUUUAUAGAGAGUGGGGUUGAUCCAUCCACGGUUGUGAAAGUUGUUCAGCCUAUUGAUGUCGAGAUCUUUGAUCCGCUUAAGCAUAAACCAUUGAAUCUUGCAUCAAUAGGGAAUCUGGUUUUAGGAACAAGAAACAUGGAUUCUAAUUCCAAGGAAUUUGUUUUUUUGAGUGUGUUUAAGUGGGAGUAUAGGAAAGGGUGGGAUGUGUUACUGAAAUCCUACUUGACUGAAUUUUCUGGGAUUGAUGGGAUUUCUUUGUAUUUAUUAACAAAUCCAUACCAUUCCGACAGUGAUUUUGGGAACAAGAUUUUGGAGUUUGUGGAGGAUUCUGGUAUAGAAAAACCAGAAAAUGACUGGGCUGCCAUUUAUGUGAUUGAUACCCACAUAGCUCAAAUUGAUUUGCCGAGAUUGUAUAAGGCAGCCAAUGCAUUUAUUCUUCCAUCAAGAGGGGAAGGAUGGGGGAGGCCUAUUGUCGAAGCCAUGUCCAUGUCUUUGCCAGUUAUUGCAACUAAUUGGUCUGGACCAAUGGAGUAUCUGACCGAUCAUAAUAGCUAUCCUUUACCGGUGGAUGGAAUGAGUAAAGUUAUGGAAGGACCGUUCAGGGGGCAUCUCUGGGCUGAACCUUCUAUUGAUAAGCUUCAACAUCUAAUGAGGCAUGUCAUGACCAAUGUUGAGGAAGCUAAGACCAGAGGGAGGCAUGCAAGAGAAGACAUGGUUAGAAAGUUUUCUCCUGAGGUUGUUGCAGGGAUUGUCAAUAACCAAUUACAAAAUGUACUUGAUAAGAUUAUUUGAAAGUUCAUAUAUA